rnacentral:rRNA from 1 species
UACGUAGGGUGCAAGCGUUGUCCGGAAUUAUUGGGCGUAAAGAGCUCGUAGGCGGUCUGUCACGUCUGCUGUGAAAACCCGAGGCUCAACCUCGGGCCUGCAGUGGGUACGGGCAGACUAGAGUGCGGUAGGGGAGAAUGGAAUUCCUGGUGUAGCGGUGGAAUGCGCAGAUAUCAGGAGGAACACCGAUGGCGAAGGCAGUUCUCUGGGCCGUAACUGACGCUGAGGAGCGAAAGCGUGGGGAGCGAACAGG